AAUUUUUUUUUGGUGUAAUGACCUCUAGUUUCCAAAAAGAUUUGCUUCAUACGUUGGUGUCACAGACUAACGAUUACACCAAGUCUGUACUACAAGAAGUGCGAGAAAUUCGCACACAACUAGUAACUAGGGUUUUUUUAUUCGUAACUUUUCAAAUUCUAAAGAUUGUUUUACUAUGUUUAUAAGAAUGAAUUAUAUGGCAGUGAACAGAUUUUACUCUCCUCUGAGCUUUUAAAAAUUAAAAAAGCACUUCUCGAGGUUGAAACAGAGAACGCUCUACUGGUAGAGUCGCUGUCAGAUGCUCAAGUUGCCAUGGCUAUUGUAAUAAAGGUUGGACGCAGAAUAUUUGCGUUUCCAUCUUUUUACUGCUAAGGUAAGAAAUUUCAAGAAAAGUUGAAAGGGUUUCAAGACCAAAAUAAGGGGGAGCUAUUACUUUUGAAAGCAAGUGUUUUAUAGACCAAUUGGAAAAGGAAAGAAGACGACACGAACAGGUCUUACAGGAAAAUAUCGAACUGAAAGUCCAGAACAAUGAGUUAAAGAGCCUUCUUUGUCUAGCGGCAGACGUGGACAACCACUGGCUAGAAAGCACGUGCUAUCAACUUGAAUCUGAAAAUACGACACUAAAAGAAGUUUUAAAAAUAUC